AAAAGUCAUUCAUAGAAAUGAAAGAAAACAAAUAGAAAGAUAAGAGAAAAUAUGUAAAUAAAAAUGGAAGAAUGCACGACUAACCGGAAGGAAAAGGCUUGCGACCAGAUCUGCGGCGGAUCGGUUGGACGACUUGUUCGGUGGUUGCACCGACUCUGUGGCGGUCGCACGAGCAGGUAGGACGUGGUUGUGGGCGGAGAGUUGCACAGAGGUGUUAGAGCAGGUGACAACGUGCGUUUUCUGAUCAUGG
rnacentral:lncRNA from 1 species